AAAAGAACUUUGAAGAGAGAGUUCAAAAGGGCGUGAAACCGCUUAGAAUAAAACGGACGGAGCCGUCAGGAGCCUUCGGGACUCAGUCGUCUGUCGGGCGAAAAUAGGAUGUCGGAAGAGCGAAAGUCUUUCCGUUCUAUUAGUAGUUCGAUAGUCGGCGCAUUUCUCGGAGGUAAGCAUCGCAACCGAUACGAAAGGCUAGCGAGGCGAUUGGAUUGAGGUCUAGUUCCUUUACGGGUAUCUAGUUUCCAGUCUUUUCGCGUUAGUCGUUAGACCGCAGUAUGUAUCGAGCGUCUAAUAGAGAAUAGAUACGUCGGCUAAAAAGCGUAUCGAGCGAUGGAUAGUCGAUUAAUUAGUCGGUCGCCUGCUCGCAGGUACUAGCGAAUUUAGUCGGUCUCAGAAGUCGUCGAUGCCGUUAAGACGUAUAGGCGUUAGCGAUGUCAGUGCCGGUCACCCGUCCGACCCGUCUUGAAACACGGACCAAGGAGUCUAACAUAUGCGCGAGCUAAUAGGUGGAAAACCUAUAGGCGCAAUAAAAGUAAACGCUGUUUCGGACAGCCGAGGUACGAUCCUAGAUUCGCUCUAGGCGCAGUACCGUCUCAUCCCUAAGGCACGUCCUAAGGGUGAAGACAGAGUGCAUACGUUGGGACCCGAAAGAUGGUGAACUAUGCCUGAGCAGAGCGAAGCCAGAGGAAACUCUGGUGGAGGUUCGUAGCGGUUCUGACGUGCAAAUCGAUCGUCAGACUUGGGUAU
rnacentral:rRNA from 1 species